GCCCCCUCACUGCUGUGUCCACUGUCCCAUUCCUUCAGGCCAGGCCAGGUGUCCCCCUGUGUGACUUCCCAUCACCUCAGGACAAACUGUGCUCUACUCAGGCUCCACAUACACACAGACCCAAGUCUGCAGGAGCCCGGGUGUGGCACUGACCUCAGAGCACGAAGGGCAAACCUGCAGGAAGCUCCAGGAGGGAAGGAGUGACAGCUGCGGGUGCUCUGAUGGGGACCUCGUCGCAGACUUUAUGUGUCUGUCACCACUUGGACAACUGCUACCUCAAAGUGAAGGUCUGGUCCUUCAAGAAGGAAAGCCCAACAUGGUGCCCAGGGAAGCACCAUUAGUAGCCUGUUCCUGUGAACUUCAGACUCAUCUCAGUGAUGGAAUUAAACACAGAACUUCCAGGAUGGACUGACUAGGAGUCAGAC